UAACCGCUGAACGCAUCUAAGUGGGAAGCCCCUCCAAAGAUGAAUCCUCCCAGGGCGGAGCCUUGUGCUCCCCCUCUGAAGGGCCGUGGGAGACGACCACGUCGAUAGGCGGCAGGUGUACGCGUAGCGAUACGUUCAGCCGAGCCGUACUAAGGGCCCGUGUGGCUUGACCGG
rnacentral:rRNA from 1 species